rnacentral:rRNA from 1 species
GACAAACGCUGGCGGCGUGCAUAAAACAUGCAAGUCGGACGAGCCAAUCCCCGCAAGGGGAAAGGCUAGUGGCGAACGGCUGAGUAACACGUAGGUGAUCUGCCCUGAAGUGGGGAUAACGACUCGAAAGAGUCGCUAAUACCGCAUGUGACCAUCGAUUCGUUUUCGAUGCUCAAAGUCGUAAGACGCUUUAGGAGGAGCCUGCGGCGGAUUAGCUAGUUGGUGAGGAAUGGCCUACCAAGGCUUCGAUCCGUAGCUGGUCUGAGAGGAUGACCAGCCAGACUGGGACUGAGACACGGCCCAGACUCCUACGGGAGGCAGCAGUUAGGAAUUUUGCGCAAAUGGGGGAAACCCUGACGCAGCCACGCCGCGUGGCGGGAU